GAGUUGAUCCUGGCUCAGAUGAACGCUGGCGGCAGGCUUAACACAUGCAAGUCGAGCGGAAACGAUGGGAGCUUGCUCCCAGGCGUCGAGCGGCGGACGGGUGAGUAACGCGUAGGAAUCUGCCCAGUAGAGGGGGAUAGCCCGAGGAAACUCGGAUUAAUACCGCAUACGCCCUACGGGGGAAAGCAGGGGAUCUUCGGACCUUGCGCUAUUGGAUGAGCCUGCGUGAGAUUAGCUAGUUGGUGGGGUAAAGGCCUACCAAGGCGACGAUCUCUAGCUGGUCUGAGAGGAUGAUCAGCCACACUGGGACUGAGACACGGCCCAGACUCCUACGGGAGGCAGCAGUGGGGAAUAUUGGACAAUGGGGGCAACCCUGAUCCAGCCAUGCCGCGUGUGUGAAGAAGGCCUUAGGGUUGUACAGCACUUUCAGUAGGGAGGAAGGCUCUGUAGUUAAUACCUGCAGGGAUAGACGUUACCUACAGAAGCAGCACUGGCUAACUCCGUGCCAGCAGCCGCGGUAAUACGGAGGGUG
rnacentral:rRNA from 1 species